rnacentral:rRNA from 1 species
AUUGAACGCUGGCGGCAGGCCUAACACAUGCAAGUCGAGCGAGCGGAGGGCGGGAGAGUCAUGCCUGGGAAUUGCCCAGUCGAGGGGGAUAACAGUUGGAAACGACUGCUAAUACCGCAUACGCUUGGAUUGCGCAGGGGGGAUUAGCUAGUUGGUGAGGUAAUGGCUCACCAAGGCGACGAUGCCUAGCUGGUCUGAGAGGCGGAUCGGCCACACUGGAACUGAGACACGGCCCAAACUCCUACGGGAGGCAGCAGUGGGGAAUAUUGCACAAUGGGCGAAACUCUGAUGGAGCCAUGCCGCGUGUGUGAAGAAGGCCUUCGGGUUGUAAAGCACUGUCAGCGAGGAGGCGUUACCCGCAGAAGAAGCACCGGCUAACUACGUGCCAGCAGCCGCGGUAAUUC